GACGAACGCUGGCGGCGUGCUUAACACAUGCAAGUCGAACGAUGAAGCCCAGCUUGCUGGGUGGAAGAGUGGCGAACGGGUGAGUAACACGUGAGUAACCUGCCUAUCACCCUGGGAUAAGCGCUGGAAACGGCGUCUAAUACUGGAUACGACCUAUCACCGCAUGGUGUGUGGGUGGAAAGAUUUAUCGGUGGUAGAUGGACUCGCGGACUAUCAGCUUGUUGGUGAGGUGAUGGCUCACCAAGGCGACGACGGGUAGCCGGCCUGAGAGGGUGACCGGCCACACUGGGACUGAGACACGGCCCAGACUCCUACGGGAGGCAGCAGUGGGGAAUAUUGCACAAUUGGCGCAAGCCUGAUGCAGCAACGCCGCGUGAGGGACGACGGCCUUCGGGUUGUAAACCUCUUUUAGUAGGGAAGAAGCGUAAGUGACGGUACCUGCAGAAAAAGCACCGGCUAACUACGUGCCAGCAGCCGCCGUAA
rnacentral:rRNA from 1 species